rnacentral:misc_RNA from 1 species
GUAUCACUAUAAUCUUUCCAAAGCAUCUCUAGUUUUGAUUCGGUCUUUUGUUUAAGUUUUUCUAGAUCCAACUCAUUUAUACGUUCCUAAAGAGUACUUCGUUCUAAAACUUGGCCAGCUUUAUAAGCACCAAAAAUAGCUAUCGAAAGAAUGAGUCCGACUCCAAGUGUAGUGAUGUGAUCAGAAAGAAAUCUAUCCAUGGAAAAUGAAACUU